rnacentral:piRNA from 1 species
UGACACGUGUCAAGACUAGAUGCUACUGCCAU